rnacentral:pre_miRNA from 1 species
AUAUAAAUCAUCUUGGGAUGUUGAUAAAAUACAGAUACUGACUCAGUAGGUCUGGGACAGAGCCUAAGGUUCUGUUUUUCUAGAAAGCUCCCAGAAGAAACCAGU